CGGGGUGAGUAAUGUAUGGGGAUCUGCCUGAUGGCGGGGGGUAACUACUGGAAACGGUAGCUAAUACCGCAUAAUGUCUGCGGACCAAAGCGGGGGACCUCCGGGCCUCGCGCCAUCAGAUGAACCCAUAUGGGAUUAGCUUGUAGGUAAGGUAACGGCUUACCUAGGCGACGAUCCCUAGCUGGUCUGAGAGGAUGACCAGCCACACUGGAACUGAGACACGGUCCAG
rnacentral:rRNA from 1 species